AUUGAACGCUGGCGGCAUGCCUUACACAUGCAAGUCGAACGGUAACGGGCCUUCGGGUGCCGACGAGUGGCGAACGGGUGCGUAAUACAUCGGAACGUGCCCGAUCGUGUGGGAUAACGAGGCGAAAGCUUUGCUAAUACCGCAUACGAUCUACGGAUGAAAGCAGGGGACCGCAAGGCCUUGCGCGGACGGAGCGGCCGAUGGCAGAUUAGGUAGUUGGUGGGAUAAAAGCUUACCAAGCCGACGAUCUGUAGCUGGUCUGAGAGGAUGAUCAGCCACACUGGGACUGAGACACGGCCCAGACUCCUACGGGAGGCAGCAGUGGGGAAUUUUGGACAAUGGGCGCAAGCCUGAUCCAGCCAUGCCGCGUGCAGGAUGAAGGCCUUCGGGUUGUAAACUGCUUUUGUACGGAACGAAAAGCCUUCUUUUAAUACAGGAGGGUCAUGACGGUACCGUAAGAAUAAGCACCGGCUAACUACGUG
rnacentral:rRNA from 1 species